rnacentral:rRNA from 1 species
AUUGAACGCUGGCGGCAGGCCUAACACAUGCAAGUCGAGCGAGCGGCGGACGGGUGAGUAAUGUAUGGGGACUGCCCGAUAGAGGGGGAUAACUACUGGAAACGGUGGCUAAUACCGCAUACUAUCGGAUAACCCAUAUGGGUUUAGCUAGUAGGUUGGGUAAAGGCUCACCUAGGCGACGAUCUCUAGCUGGUCUGAGAGGAUGAUCAGCCACACUGGGACUGAGACACGGCCGAGACUCCUACGGAGGCAGCAGUGGGGAAUAUUGCACAAUGGGCGCAAGGCGGAUGCAGCAAUGACGCGUGUAUGAAGAAGGCCUUAGGGUUGUAAAGUACUUUCAGCGGGGAGGCGGUAAACGAAGAAGAAGCACCGGCUAACUCCGUGCCAGCCGCCGCGGUAAUUG